AUCCUUCUGGAAAACGAUAAGCGGGUUUUCACACAGUUGUGUGAUAUGUGCGGUCUGACCUUGUUAUGACUUUGCUUGUUGUCCGUCUGACC